rnacentral:rRNA from 1 species
AUUGAACGCUGGCGGCAGGCUUAACACAUGCAAGUCGAGCGGUAGCACAGGGGAGCUUGCUCCCUGGGUGACGAGUGGCGGACGGGUGAGUAAUGUCUGGGAAACUGCCUGAUGGAGGGGGAUAACUACUGGAAACGGUAGCUAAUACCGCAUAACGUCGCAAGACCAAAGAGGGGGACCUUCGGGCCUCUUGCCAUCAGAUGUGCCCAGAUGGGAUUAGCUAGUAGGUGGGGUAAUGGCUCACCUAGGCGACGAUCCCUAGCUGGUCUGAGAGGAUGACCAGCCACACUGGAACUGAGACACGGUCCAGACUCCUACGGGAGGCAGCAGUGGGGAAUAUUGCACAAUGGGCGCAAGCCUGAUGCAGCCAUGCCGCGUGUGUGAAGAAGGCCUUCGGGUUGUAAAGCACUUUCAGCGAGGAGGAAGGUGGUGAGCUUAAUACGUUCAUCAAUUGACGUUACUCGCAGAAGAAGCACCGGCUAUCUCCGUG